UUAAUUGAAACCAAAAAGAGGUAUAUCAUUGUUAAUGAUAUUAUUGAGUAUAAUUCCAAUUAAG
rnacentral:tRNA from 1 species